rnacentral:rRNA from 1 species
AAAUUGAAGAGUUUGAUCAUGGCUCAGAUUGAACGCUGGCGGCAGGCCUAACACAUGCAAGUCGAGCGGUAGCACAGAGAGCUUGCUCUCGGGUGACGAGCGGCGGACGGGUGAGUAAUGUCUGGGAAACUGCCUGAUGGAGGGGGAUAACUACUGGAAACGGUAGCUAAUACCGCAUAACGUCGCAAGACCAAAGUGGGGGACCUUCGGGCCUCAUGCCAUCAGAUGUGCCCAGAUGGGAUUAGCUAGUAGGUGGGGUAACGGCUCACCUAGGCGACGAUCCCUAGCUGGUCUGAGAGGAUGACCAGCCACACUGGAACUGAGACACGGUCCAGACUCCUACGGGAGGCAGCAGUGGGGAAUAUUGCACAAUGGGCGCAAGCCUGAUGCAGCCAUGCCGCGUGUGUGAAGAAGGCCUUCGGGUUGUAAAGCACUUUCAGCGGGGAGGAAGGCGUUAAGGUUAAUAACCUUGGCGAUUGACGUUACCCGCAGAAGAAGCACCGGCUAACUCCGUGCCAGCAGCCGCGGUAAUACGGAGGGUGCAAGCGUUAAUCGGAAUUACUGGGCGUAAAGCGCACGCAGGCGGUCUGUCAAGUCGGAUGUGAAAUCCCCGGGCUCAACCUGGGAACUGCAUUCGAAACUGGCAGGCUAGAGUCUUGUAGAGGGGGGUAGAAUUCCAGGUGUAGCGGUGAAAUGCGUAGAGAUCUGGAGGAAUACCGGUGGCGAAGGCGGCCCCCUGGACAAAGACUGACGCUCAGGUGCGAAAGCGUGGGGAGCAAACAGGAUUAGAUACCCUGGUAGUCCACGCCGUAAACGAUGUCGAUUUGGAGGUUGUGCCCUUGAGGCGUGGCUUCCGGAGCUAACGCGUUAAAUCGACCGCCUGGGGAGUACGGCCGCAAGGUUAAAACUCAAAUGAAUUGACGGGGGCCCGCACAAGCGGUGGAGCAUGUGGUUUAAUUCGAUGCAACGCGAAGAACCUUACCUGGUCUUGACAUCCACAGAACUUUCCAGAGAUGGGUUGGUGCCUUCGGGAACUGUGAGACAGGUGCUGCAUGGCUGUCGUCAGCUCGUGUUGUGAAAUGUUGGGUUAAGUCCCGCAACGAGCGCAACCCUUAUCCUUUGUUGCCAGCGGUUAGGCCGGGAACUCAAAGGAGACUGCCAGUGAUAAACUGGAGGAAGGUGGGGAUGACGUCAAGUCAUCAUGGCCCUUACGACCAGGGCUACACACGUGCUACAAUGGCAUAUACAAAGAGAAGCGACCUCGCGAGAGCAAGCGGACCUCAUAAAGUAUGUCGUAGUCCGGAUUGGAGUCUGCAACUCGACUCCAUGAAGUCGGAAUCGCUAGUAAUCGUAGAUCAGAAUGCUACGGUGAAUACGUUCCCGGGCCUUGUACACACCGCCCGUCACACCAUGGGAGUGGGUUGCAAAAGAAGUAGGUAGCUUAACCUUCGGGAGGGCGCUUACCACUUUGUGAUUCAUGACUGGGGUGAAGUCGUAACAAGGUAACCGUAGGGGAACCUGCGGUUGGAUCACCUCCUUA